AGCGAACGUUUGCGGCGGGCCUAACACAUGCAAGUCGAACGAGAUCUCGGGCUUCGGUCCGGGUGAAAGUGGCGCACGGGUGCGUAACACGUGGGUAAUCAACCCUCUGGAUCGGGACAACCCGGGGAAACUCGGGCUAAUACCGGAUACGUCGUCGGAGCUCUAGGGCUCUGACGGGAAAGGCCUGCAAGGGCUACCAGAGGACGAGCUCGCGGCCCAUCAGCUAGUUGGUGAGGUAAUGGCUCACCAAGGCGAAGACGGGUAGCUGGUCUGAGAGGAUGAUCAGCCACACUGGAACUGAGACACGGUCCAGACUCCUACGGGAGGCAGCAGUGGGGAAUAUUGCGCAAUGGGCGAAAGCCUGACGCAGCCACGCCGCGUGUGCGAUGAAGGUCUUCGGAUCGUAAAGCACUGUGGGGGGAGAAGAACAAAGCUGGUGAAGAGCCAGCCCUGACGGUAUCCCCUUAGCAAGCACCGGCUAACUCCGUGCCA
rnacentral:rRNA from 1 species